UGACCGCUGGCGGCGUGCCUAAUACAUGCAAGUCGAGCGAACAGACGCGGAGCUUGCUCCUCUGACGUUAGCGGCGGACGGGUGAGUAACACGUGGAUAACCUACCUAUAAGACUGGGAUAACUUCGGGAAACCGGAGCUAAUACCGGAUAAUAUAUUGAACCGCAUGGUUCAAUAGUGAAAGACGGUUUUGCUGUCACUUAUAGAUGGAUCCGCGCCGCAUUAGCUAGUUGGUAAGGUAACGGCUUACCAAGGCGACGAUGCGUAGCCGACCUGAGAGGGUGAUCGGCCACACUGGAACUGAGACACGGUCCAGACUCCUACGGGAGGCAGCAGUAGGGAAUCUUCCGCAAUGGGCGAAAGCCUGACGGAGCAACGCCGCGUGAGUGAUGAAGGUCUUCGGAUCGUAAAACUCUGUUAUUAGGGAAGAACAAAUGUGUAAGUAACUAUGCACGUCUUGACGGUACCUAAUCAGAAAGCCACGGCGAACUACGU
rnacentral:rRNA from 1 species